rnacentral:rRNA from 1 species
AACGAACGCUGGCGGCAUGCCUAACACAUGCAAGUCGAACGAGACCUUCGGGUCGAGUGGCGCACGGGUGCGUAACGCGUGGGAACCUGCCCUUAGGUUCGGAAUAACUCCCCGAAAGGGGUGCUAAUACCGGAUAAUGUCUUCGGACCAAAGAUUUAUCGCCUUUGGAUGGGCCCGCGUUGGAUUAGCUAGUUGGUAGGGUAAAAGCCUACCAAGGCGACGAUCCAUAGCUGGUCUGAGAGGAUGAUCAGCCACACUGGGACUGAGACACGGCCCAGACUCCUACGGGAGGCAGCAGUGGGGACUAUUGGACAAUGGGCGAAAGCCUGAUCCAGCAAUGCCGCGUGAGUGAUGAAGGCCUUAGGGUUGUAAAGCUCUUUUACCCGGGAUGAUAAUGACAGUACCGGGAGAAUAAGCUCCGGCUAACUCCGUG